rnacentral:rRNA from 1 species
GAUGAACGCUGGCGGCGUGCCUAACACAUGCAAGUCGAGCGAUCUUCUUCGGAAGAGAGCGGCGGACGGGUGAGUAACGCGUGGGCAACCUGCCCUGUACACACGGAUAACAUACCGAAAGGUAUGCUAAUACGAGAUAAUAUGCUUUUAUCGCAUGGUAGAAGUAUCAAAGCUCUGGCGGUACAGGAUGGACCCGCGUCUGAUUAGCUAGUUGGUAAGGUAACGGCUUACCAAGGCGACGAUCAGUAGCCGACCUGAGAGGGUGAUCGGCCACAUUGGAACUGAGACACGGUCCAAACUCCUACGGGAGGCAGCAGUGGGGAAUAUUGCACAAUGGGCGAAAGCCUGAUGCAGCAACGCCGCGUGAGCGACGAAGGCCUUCGGGUCGUAAAGCUCUGUCCUCAAGGAAGAUAAUGACGGUACUUGAGGAGGAAGCCCCGGCUAACUACGUGCCAGCCGCUGCAGUAACAC